AAUUCUGGGUAAAGAAGUGUGAACAUCUUUGAAAUGAUUUUUGAUUUACAGAAAAGUUGCAAAGAUAGCAUGGGGUUUCUACCUACCCUUCACCAACUUCCUCUAGUGCUAUUAUCUUACCUAACAGGGUACAUGAGUCAAAAGUUAUAAACUAACGCUGGUGUGAUGCUAUCAGUGAAAGCCCAGACUAUUUGGAUUUCAGUAAAUGUCCUUUUCCUGUUCCAAAAUCCAGUCCAAGAUACCAUGCUGUAAUUAGGAUGUGGACGCGCAGCAGCUCGGUGAUGCCAGGGCCUCGCUCGGGGUCACACAGCUGUCUGGGGACAGCCUUGGGUUUGGACAUCACGGUUCCUGCCUCUCAGCCCUGUGCUCUUUCGACAGCAUCUUACACAAUUUACCCUAUGGCAGAGGAGCAGGAUUAGCACCUCUGAAACAAUUGCAGAACUGGUGGGGGCCAGAGUUCCCCUUGCUGGUGAUUUCCCACCCACAGAGGGCUUGUUGCCAAUACCAUUAUCUUGUUUACUUACAGAUGCUUGCUUGGGGGUUGCAAUUUUCUUUUGAGGCCCUGGGGAUUUCUGGAAUUAAAAAAAAAUUCAGUAAAAUUGAAUUCCUCUAA